AGAGUUUGAUCCUGGCUCAGAGCGAACGCUGGCGGCAGGCUUAACACAUGCAAGUCGAGCGCCCGUAGCAAUACGGGAGCGGCAGACGGGUGAGUAACACGUGGGAACGUGCCCUUCAGUUCGGAACAACCCAGGGAAACUUGGGCUAAUACCGGAUACGUCCGUAAGGAGAAAGAUUUAUCGCUGAAGGAUCGGCCCGCGUCUGAUUAGCUAGUUGGUGGGGUAAUGGCCCACCAAGGCGACGAUCAGUAGCUGGUCUGAGAGGAUGAUCAGCCACAUUGGGACUGAGACACGGCCCAAACUCCUACGGGAGGCAGCAGUGGGGAAUCUUGGACAAUGGGCGCAAGCCUGAUCCAGCCAUGCCGCGUGGGUGAUGAAGGCCCUAGGGUUGUAAAGCCCUUUCGGCGGGGAAGAUAAUGACGGUACCCGCAGAAGAAGCCCCGGCUAACUUCGUGCCAGCAGCCGCGGUAAUACGAAGGGGGCUAGCGUUGCUCGGAAUCACUGGGCGUAAAGCGCACGUAGGCGGAUCGUUAAGUCAGGGGUGAAAGCCCGGAGCUCAACUCCGGAACUGCCUCUGAUACUGAUGGUCUUGAGUUCGGGAGAGGUGAGUGGAACUGCGAGUGUAGAGGUGAAAUUCGUAGAUAUUCGCAAGAACACCAGUGGCGAAGGCGGCUCACUGGCCCGAUACUGACGCUGAGGUGCGAAAGCGUGGGGAGCAAACAGGAUUAGAUACCCUGGUAGUCCACGCCGUAAACGAUGGAUGCUAGCCGUUGGCGGGUUUACUCGUCAGUGGCGCAGCUAACGCAUUAAGCAUCCCGCCUGGGGAGUACGGUCGCAAGAUUAAAACUCAAAGGAAUUGACGGGGGGCCCGCACAAGCGGUGGAGCAUGUGGNUCAAUUCGAAGCAACGCGCAAAA
rnacentral:rRNA from 1 species